rnacentral:pre_miRNA from 1 species
GCUUGCCCAGCCAUCGGCGAGGCUCGGCCUCCCCAGAUCUGGCGAGGCCGAGCCUCGCCGGUGGCUAGGUGGGA